UAAUUCUUUGAAAAAUAUAGAUACCCUAGUGCAGAGAGUUGUCAGCUUGCUAGGAUGCCUUUAAGUAAGUCUAUUAUAAUAAGGAUGCUUAAUAUGGUAGGACUUUUUAUUAGUAGUAAUAUUAAUAAAGAAGAUACAAGAGUAUCAACAAAGAGAGGUAGUGUAUCUUAGUAAUCAACAGUAAAGUCAUAACAGAGUGGGGAGAAUAAUAGACGGUGUGAGAAGCACAAGAACCCUAAAGCCUAAUAUUGUGGUGAUAUUGGAAACUUGGGGAAUACCAAACAAUCUCCUAUGCCUUGAUGUAUUAGAAAUAGUACUAUAACACUCAAAAAUGGAUAAGUAGCUCAAUGGCAGUUUCUUAAUAAAAUAAAGCUCAAAAAUUAUUCAUUAAGAAUAAAAAGAUAAUUCUAAUUUAAUUUUUGAUUUAAAACAUAUUUUUUUCUGAAUGAUGAGUGAACAUUACAGGUAGUAAAUCCUGUCAUAGGUUUGGUUUUUGCAAAUACAAAAACUAUGGUAAGAAGCUUAAGAGUCGCUAUCUUAAGUUCAGACUUAUCAUCUAUGUAACUUAAUAACUACAGAUUACUAAGAAUAAGGCGAAGGUCUAUCUGAUAUUUUUCAAAGAU
rnacentral:ncRNA from 1 species